UUGGUUAGCUUUCGCCAUUAAAUGACAAGAAGAAGUGGAUUCGUUGUUUUGUGUGAUCCACUAUUAAAUGCAAAGACUACAAAGUAGGAGAAGUUGUUGUUCGACUGAACAUUAUAAUGGGCAAGACGUCCGAUCUAAGCGACUUUGACCGUGGUACAAUUGUUGGUGCCAGGCGUAGUGGUGCCAGUGUCUCACAAACAGCUGCCCUUUUGGGAUUUUCACGUACUACAGUCUCUAGAGUGUACAAAGAAUGGAGCCAAAAGAAAAAAACAUCCAGCCAGCGGAAGCUAUGUGGGCGAAAACGCCUUGUUAAUGAGAUAGGUGAGAAGAUAAUCGAUACAAUCAUUCAAGCGGACAGAUUGGCCACCCAUGCUGAAAUAACAGCUAUUUACAACAGUAAUAUGCAAAAGACCAUCUCUCAACACACAACGCGCCGAACCUUAAAACGGAUGGGCUACUCGAAGACCAUGCCAGUUUCCACCCUCUGCAAAGUACAAGAAGCUUCCAGCGCAGAGCCUCUAUCAUGAGAUGGCAUAAGCCUGCCAGUGAAAUCCCUCCCUGUUGCAGACCGGCUCAAGCAUCCACCAGGAAGAAGUGGGGAUGGGGCUACAGGAAAGGGAAAUGACUUAAAAUUAGUUUCCCUGUGCUCCCCAUUUAUAAUGGACAAUUUAGCCAUUAUAUACUUACCCUUAUGUGAGUCAACUCUACACUUAACAGUGAGUAAGUUAUUUAAAUUAAAAGAAACAAAUAAAUCCUGUUUGAACAUCUGUGUUGUUUAUACACUUGAGUAUAUGAUGCUGCCUGUCAAAUCUAAAAUAGAUUAUAAUCCUCACUAAAUAAAGAAAAGUUUAUAAGGCA